rnacentral:rRNA from 1 species
GACGAACGCUGGCGGCGUGCUUAACACAUGCAAGUCGAACGGAAAGGCCCUGCUUUUGUGGGGUGCUCGAGUGGCGAACGGGUGAGUAACACGUGAGUAACCUGCCCUUGACUUUGGGAUAACUUCAGGAAACUGGGGCUAAUACCGGAUAGGAGCUCCUGCUGCAUGGUGGGGGUUGGAAAGUUUCGGCGGUUGGGGAUGGACUCGCGGCUUAUCAGCUUGUUGGUGGGGUAGUGGCUUACCAAGGCUUUGACGGGUAGCCGGCCUGAGAGGGUGACCGGCCACAUUGGGACUGAGAUACGGCGCAGACUCCUACGGGAGGCAGCAGUGGGGAAUAUUGCACAAUGGGCGGAAGCCUGAUGCAGCAACGCCGCGUGCGGGAUGACGGCCUUCGGGUUGUAAACCGCUUUGGCAUGUGACGAAGCGUGAGUGACGGUAAUGGGUAAAGAAGCACCGGCUAACUACGUG